CGGCUUCCAGACAAGCCUGGAACCACAGAAUGAGUUCCAGCCAGAGAACCAGCAGCCUCCUUGGUAGUGAACAUAACCUGUUACUUGUACAGGUGCCUCUAAGGGGCCUUGGAGACAGUU
rnacentral:snoRNA from 1 species